ensembl:miRNA
GCUGGGUGGGGUGGGGCAGCCUCAGGAAGGGCCCAGCUCCCCUGGAUGUGCUGCGGUGGGGCCAGAGGGGCAUCUCGUGCACCCGGGUGACACCCCUCCUAAUUCUGGCUCAG